rnacentral:rRNA from 1 species
UUAGCGGCGGACGGGUGAGUAACACGUGGAUAACCUACCUAUAAGACUGGGAUAACUUCGGGAAACCGGAGCUAAUACCGGAUAACAUAUUGAACCGCAUGGUUCAAUAGUGAAAGGCGGCUUUGCUGUCACUUAUAGAUGGAUCCGCGCCGUAUUAGCUAGUUGGUAAGGUAACGGCUUACCAAGGCAACGAUACGUAGCCGACCUGAGAGGGUGAUCGGCCACACUGGAACUGAGACACGGUCCAGACUCCUACGGGAGGCAGCAGUAGGGAAUCUUCCGCAAUGGGCGAAAGCCUGACGGAGCAACGCCGCGUGAGUGAUGAAGGUCUUCGGAUCGUAAAACUCUGUUAUCAGGGAAGAACAAAUGUGUAAGUAACUGUGCACAUCUUGACGGUACCUGAUCAGAAAGCCACGGCUAACUACGUGCCAGCAGCCGCGGUAAUACGUAGGUGGCAAGCGUUAUCCGGAAUUAUUGGGCGUAAAGCGCGCGUAGGCGGUUUUUUAAGUCUGAUGUGAAAGCCCACGGCUCAACCGUGGAGGGUCAUUGGAAACUGGAAAACUUGAGUGCAGAAGAGGAAAGUGGAAUUCCAUGUGUAGCGGUGAAAUGCGCAGAGAUAUGGAGGAACACCAGUGGCGAAGGCGACUUUCUGGUCUGUAACUGACGCUGAUGUGCGAAAGCGUGGGGAUCAAACAGGAUUAGAUACCCUGGUAGUCCACGCCGUAAACGAUGAGUGCUAAGUGUUAGGG